rnacentral:piRNA from 1 species
UGAAAAGUACCAAGAAGUGGAAGAAGACC